GCAGAGGUGUUUCAGUGGUAGAACUCUCGCCUUCCAUGUGGGAGACCCAGAUUCAAUUCCUGGCCAAUGCA
rnacentral:tRNA from 1 species